rnacentral:rRNA from 1 species
UACGAAGGGGGCUAGCGUUGCUCGGAAUGACUGGGCGUAAAGGGCGCGUAGGCGGCUUGCACCGUCAGAUGUGAAAUUCCUGGGCUUAACCUGGGGGCUGCAUUUGAUACGUGUGGGCUUGAGUGCGGCAGAGGAGACUGGAAUUCCUGGUGUAGCAGUGAAAUGCGUAGAUAUCAGGAGGAAUACCGAUGGCGAAGGCAGGUCUCUGGGCUGACACUGACGCUCAUGCACGAAAGCGUGGGGAGCAAACAGG